rnacentral:rRNA from 1 species
AGGACGAACGCUGGCGGCGUGCUUAACACAUGCAAGUCGAGCGGAAAGGCCCUUCGGGGUACUCGAGCGGCGACCGGGUGAGUAACACGUGACUAACCUACCUUCGAGUGGGGGAUAACCUCGGGAAACCGAGGCUAAUACCGCAUAACAUCGUGAGAUCAAAGCAGUAAUGCGCUGGAAGAGGGGGUCGCGGCUGAUUAGCUAGUUGGCGGGGUAAUGGCCCACCAAGGCGAAGAUCGGUAG